AGUGCGAAUGCUGACAUGAGUAACGAUAAUGCGGGUGAAAAACCCGCACGCCGGAAGACCAAGGUUUCCUGUCCCAUGCUAAUCAGGGCAGGGUAAGUCGGCCCCUAAGGCGAGGCAGAGAUGCGUAGCUGAUGGGAAACAGGUCAAUAUUCCUGUACCGAUCAAUAGUGCGAUGUGGGGACGGAGAAGGUUAGCUCAGCCA
rnacentral:rRNA from 1 species